AGGACGAACGCUGGCGGCGUGCUUAACACAUGCAAGUGGAGCGACGAACCAGGCUUCGGCCUGGGGCAGAGCCGCGAACGGGUGAGUAACACGUGGGUAACCUGCCUCGAUGACCGGGACAACCCGGGGAAACCCGGGCUAAUACCGGAUGUGCUCCUUCACAUCAGUGAAGACAGGAAAGGAAGCUUCGGCCUCCGCAUCGAGAUGGGCCCGCGGCCCAUUAGCUUGUUGGUGAGGUAACGGCUCACCAAGGCUGCGAUGGGUAGCUGGUCUGAGAGGACGAUCAGCCACACUGGGACUGAGACACGGCCCAGACUCCUACGGGAGGCAGCAGUCGGGAAUUUGCCCAAUGGACGAAAGUCUGAGGCAGCAACUCCGCGUGAGGGAUGAAGGCUCUCGGGUCGUAAACCUCUUUUCUCAGGGAAGAUCCAAGACGGUACCUGAGGAAUAAGCGACGGCUAACUACGUGCCAGCAGCCGC
rnacentral:rRNA from 1 species